GGUCCGGUCCAGCGCGCCGGACGCGGCGAAGGCCGCGUGCGCGGCGGCCGAGGCCCGGUCCCAGGCCGCGACCGGGUCG
rnacentral:tRNA from 1 species